GACGAACGCUGGCGGCGUGCUUAACACAUGCAAGUCGAACGGAAAGGCCCUGCUUUUGUGGGGUGCUCGAGUGGCGAACGGGUGAGUAACACGUGAGUAACCUGCCCUUGACUUUGGGAUAACUUCAGGAAACUGGGGCUAAUACCGGAUAGGAGCUCCUGCUGCAUGGUGGGGGUUGGAAAGUUUCGGCGGUUGGGGUUGGACUCGCGGCUUACCAGCUUGUUGGUGGGGUAGUGGCUUACCAAGGCUUUGACGGGUAGCCGGCCUGGGAGGGUGACCGGCCACAUUGGGACUGAGAUACGGCCCAGACUCCUACGGGAGGCAGCAGUGGGGAAUAUUGCACAAUGGGCGGAAGCCUGAUGCAGCAACGCCGCGUGCGGGAUGACGGCCUUCGGGUUGUAAACCGCUUUCGCCUGUGACGAAGCGUGAGUGACGGUAAUGGGUAAAGAAGCACCGGCUAACUACGU
rnacentral:rRNA from 1 species